UUUCUCCCUUCAUCACUUCCAUUUCAACUCUAAAUCCUUCCUCAUUCAAGCUAUUUAUCAUAAUUAUUCUAUUUUAAUUUUGAAUUUUUGUAAAAGAAAUAGCGUAUGUAAAAAAAGUUUGAUUUUUUUUUUUUUUAAAAAACUAUUUUUUAGUGCCUUGUGAUUCUAAAAUCUCUCAUUUCUCUCUUUAUUUUGGUUUGGAAUCAAUCCCGCAAAUCCCGAACCUGAAGAGAUCGAGACGAAAUCACAAAAGAAAAGAAAUUAUGUAUUAAUAAUUUCUAAGUAAAUAUUUAACACUUGAAACUAAUUGAAAUAAGAAUUGUUGGUUGAAUAUAAUUCUCAAAGAAUUAUCUUAAAAAAUACGUUUGUUUCUAAAGCAAUAUAUUGGAAAACUGGAAGCAGAACUGCUUACUUGGGGCCUGGGGGUUGUCUGCUCUCCGCCACUCUCCUCUCCUGAAAACCCUAGAAUCCUGAUUCUUAUGCAGUGAGAUGUUAAUAAGAAGAUUAGGUUUCCAACGACCGUACGGGCAGCCCUGGCGGCAGUGUGGUAAUGGUGAAUAACAAUUAGAUGGGUUUUUAUUUGAGGUGAAAAGUGAAAACCUUGCCCAGCAAUGCUAUGCUAUCUAAGUCAUGAAGGUGACUGCUGAUAUACGUGUGUCAGACUCAGAAGAAGAUAUGUACAAGAGACCUGGGUUGUUGUCUCUAUCAUUCUUAGCUGUCUCUUCUUCUCAAAUUCUGGAUGCAAACCAGGCAGUAAAGCAAUAUGAAGCAACAAAGAAAAAGUCCCAAGACCAGUAAAAAUAUUUAAGCAAACACCUCUGCCUGUCAUCUUUACUGCAGUACACCAUAGUGAGCACCCCAGCUAUCAACAACCAUGUUAUGCAGGAUGACUUUCAAAGCCUUGAAGCCAAAGGAAUUCUUUCAGAAGAAGAUGGCAAAAUAUGUGUAGAAAUAAGAAAAAGGAAAUAAGGAAAAUGGUUUUGAGAGAAAGUGCAAGAGGGAGAUUGUUUGGAGGGGUUAUCUUUUAAAUUAAGGUGGCAAGCUGUAUAGAAAUAAGUACAAAAAGGUUUUAAGAAAGAGAGAGAUAGUUCCAAAAGGCAGGCCUCUUGAUGAGCACAAGUCUUCUCCACUAAAGUGAGAGGCUGCCUCUUCCAGCAGAAAAGCCUUUUCAUAAUCAUCCUUCCAUAGGAUCCCUUACAAAUAUGACUUCAAAAGAAUUACCCAACAACUUUCCCAAGUAGGUGGACAGGAGCUGGCCUGCUCUGCACCAAGUGACCAAAACUUCCACUUGUGAACUGGGCAUAUAGGAAUCUGCUUAGUUGUCUUAAAGUUAACUCUUGGGCACUUUCAAAGUGCUAUUAAGGUAUAAAACGCUAAUCCCCAUUUGCUUCACAAACAAAAGCACACCAUUAGUGAAAAGCUAACUGUUAAGUCACAAUCCCUUGGCCCCUCCUUCCUCCCACCUUAAAACCAUGGAUAACCACCCUCCACCACUCAACCGAUAAACAAACUCAACAUUGCCAUCACCAAAAUAAAGUGGUAGGUAGAAAAAGAAUUCCUUUACCUUAAAUUCUCAAACUGUGCAAGUAAUCAGUAGGUGUCCCAUUAACCCAUACAAGAAAUAAAGUUAUAUAAUUUGAUCAUUAGAUAAAGUUAACAGAGUAACUUGCUUCCCAAUUCAACCAGCCUAAGAAACUUCUAGAAGAGUUUAUUUUGAGAGUCUUUUCAAUGUGCAAAGGUCGGUAGGUGGUCCAUUAAUUGGUUUGACUUGAAUAAUAAUGAGCCAUACAAUGAAUAUAUGUUAUACUUUAUCCAAGAGGGGGAUGGUGUUCUCGGGAAGUGAGAGAGGCGUAUGGUGUGGGGCUUUGGAAAAGGAUAAGGAUGGAUUGGGACUUUGUGGGUUCUAGGAUUUCCUUCCUGGUAGGAAUGGGAGGAGGGUGAGAUUUUGGAGGGAUAGGUGGUGCGGGGAUUCUCCGUUGUGUGUGUCCUUCCCUUCCUUGUUUGCUUUAACUGAUGAUAAGGAAGCGUGGGUGGUGGAUAUUUGGGACCCCUUGGCUAAGGGGGGUUGGGGGGAUGGAACCCUUGUUUCUCAAGAGCCUUUAAUGAUUGGGAGGUGGAAAGCUUCUUGGAGCGGCUAGAUGGGAAGAGAGUGCAAGGAGAUGUGCAAGACAUGGUGUUUUGGACUGAAACAAAGAGUGGAAAGUUCUCGAUCAAAUCCCUCUACUAUGCUCUUAAGCCAGGCAGCCCUUCUCUUUUUCCUUCAAGUUGCAUUUGGAACGUGUGGGUGCAACCCAAGAUUAGCUUCUUUUCUUGGG